rnacentral:lncRNA from 1 species
CAGCAAUAACCGUGGGGGAAAAAGAUACUGGAAUGUUUUAGAAUAUAAAGAUGUUCUCCCACAAAAGAAAGAGCUGGAUCAACGUGGAUAUAUCAUUUCAUUUGUGCUGCUAGAAAAAUCCAGCAGCUGGCCAGCUGUCUUUUCAAUGCUCUGAAGAUUCCCAGCUGAUACUGGAAAGAGGAGACAAAGGGAAAAUAAGCCUCACAGUUUGAAGCCAGGUCCAAAUGGCAAACCAACAUAUGCAUGGCCUUGUCUGCAGUCUGGGGAGUGUUUUGUUG